UACGUAGGGGGCUAGCGUUGUCCGGAAUCAUUGGGCGUAAAGAGCGUGUAGGCGGCUGGGUAGGUCCGUUGUGAAAACUCGAGGCUCAACCUCGAGACGCCGAUGGAAACCCUCCAGCUAGAGUCCGGAAGAGGAGAGUGGAAUUCCUGGUGUAGCGGUGAAAUGCGCAGAUAUCAGGAAGAACACCCGUGGCUAAGGCGGCUCUCUAGUACGGUACUGACGCUGAGACGCGAAAGCGUGGGGAGCGAACAGG
rnacentral:rRNA from 1 species